CAUGUAUUACUUAAGUAAAUACUAUAUGAUAUCAUUGUUACAGAAUAUAGAAGACUUAUACUUACAAAUUUGUCACAACCCUUUACGCAUACGUGUUGGUGAGAAAAGAUAUUCCAUAUAACCUGGAUAUAUCAGAGUUUAACUUUCGUUCCUGAUAGAACUAGAUUUUUUGUUUCCUAUUGUUAAUUUUUGCCUCUCCGACCACUGAUGUUACCUUUAGUUCCUUAUUUAGUUUUAUAUAAGCCCAACAAUUUUCGACAAGUCCAUGA
rnacentral:lncRNA from 1 species